GCACUUUCUUUGGCAACACAUAUACUAUAAUUGGAACGAUGACACAGAGAUGAUUAUCAUAGCCCCAGCUCAAGGAUGACACAGAAUUCGUGAAACAUUCCGUAAUUUUUU
ensembl:snRNA U6 U6 spliceosomal RNA